UAAUUUUUUACUGAAAAGUGAUCCCUGUUAAAUACAAGAGUGGGAAUAAGAGAGGGAGGAGAUGUACAAUUUGGGACAUGCUCAAUCGGACUUGUCCCAAAUGGUGGAGUUAGAAAUGUGCCAGGGCUAGUUUUUUUGUCUGUUCUACUUAAUAUGACUGGUUUAAUUCUGUAAUUAAUACACAGUUAUUCUUAAGUGUUGAAAUUUAACUGAAAUGUGAUCCCUGUUAAACAUAAGAGUAGGAAUAAGAGAGGGAAGAGAUAUAUAAUUUGGGACAUGCUCAAGCUGACUUGCCCCAAAUGGUAGAGUUAGAAACAUACCAGGGGACUCCAAUUUAAUCCCAUCAAGGUGGCAUGUACCAAUGCCAUCUCACUAGUCCAAGUGAUCAAUUUCAGUUCGCAAUUGAUCAUAAUGAAAGGACUAAGAGUCAAAGGGAGCACAUAAGCAAGUCUAGUACCUGCUAACACUAACCGAUAGAAUAAAUAAAGGGGAGAGUGAUCCAACAUGGGAAGUGAGAUACUCAGCAGACUCAUAGAAUGGCAGAUGCCCUAAAUAGCACUCUGGCCUCAGAAUCAGCCCUAAAGGCAUUCAGAUCUGGCUGAAAAGCCCAUGAGAGUAUUUCAGGCAUGGAAAGCCAAGACACUCUGGCAAAAGA